rnacentral:rRNA from 1 species
AGUGAACGCUGGCGGUAGGCCUAACACAUGCAAGUCGAACGGCAGCACAGGAGAGCUUGCUCUCUAGGGGGCGAGGGGCGGGGGGGUGAGGAAUACAGCGGAAUCUGCUCAGUCGCGGGGGAAAACGCGGGGAAACGGACGCUAAUACCGCAAACGACCUUCGGGGGAAAGAGGGGGAUCGCAAGACGUCUCGCGAGUGGAUGAGCCGAUGUCGGAUUAGCUAGUUAGCGGGGUAAUGGCUCACCAAGGCGACGAUCCGUAGCUGGUCUGAGAGGAUGAUCGGCCACACUGGAACUGAGACACGGUCCAGACUCCUACGGGAGGCAGCAGUGGGGAAUCUUCGACAAUGGGCGCAAGCCUGAUCCAGCCAUACCGCGUGAGUGAAGAAGGCCUUCGGGUUGUAAAGCCCUUUUGUUGGGAAAGAAAUCUUUCAGGCUAAUCCCCUGGGAGGAUGACGGUACCCAAAGAGUAAGCCCCGGCUAACUUCGUG